ACAGCCAUUUCCUGUGAACCAAGAUAGUAAAUUUGAUCUGCCUCCAAAGAUGAGGAGGAGGAAGUUGUGACUGCCCAUGAAAAGAAGCUUGCUUGUGGCCUUUCUGUAAGCAGAGGUGUACCUACCGGUUGGAAAUAUCUUCAGAAUGAACACAAAUAAAUAUCCCUAAAACUCUUCUGGAUUCAGUUUGUGGGAAAGAGCAUUAUGAAGGACUCAAAUUGCCAAUGGCUCUCUGGAAAAGAAAGGUCAUUCAAAAAGAAAUGGAAUGAGAGAGUGGCUAAUAUAAAGAACUACACUUGUUUUAAAAAAUGAAAAGCAAAACCUGAGACAAGCACUUAGAAGCUAAAUACUAUCAGAAUGAGAGUGCUUCUGAGGAAAUCACUUUUGGAGGAACUGCUUUUGCUUCUGUAACGGUCCCUCACCUCCGUCGUCUCAUCACUGAUCUGCUUGCCUCUGCUUUCCAUGUUCCAGAAACCCUCACUGUCCUGGCCUGCAGGUGGGGUCCUCCUGGAUUUCCAGAGUUGCUAUGUGUUUUAUUUUUAAAAUUUAUACUGUCAUUUCAAUGGGAUCUGGGAAGAUGGAGAGGAAAUGUGGACAUAGUUCACUUUGUUGAAAUCUUUUAUGUUUGUACUGAAAUCAGUUAUCUCCCAAAAUGAGUUUUUUCUUUGAUAUUUACUUCUGUUUUUCUUUGGAUAAUAUUUGGUAUUUUAUAUCUAAUUCUUCAAUUCGCUUGAUUUUUUUCCCCAAAUAUGUAACCUAUUAUCCUAGGAACAUUUACAAAAUUACUAAUCAUUUUCCUCUCUUUUUUCCUUUAAGAAAACUCAUAUAUGCAUAUUUAUAUAAAAACGGUCUAAAAUAUAAUGAUUAAAAAAUAAGUUGGGAUAAAUUAGUUUAUGUUUGUAAAGAGGGGAGAUAUACAGGUUACUAUAUUUUAUGCACUAUAUAUACUUGUGUAUAAAUAGAAACAUUAUGGAAGGCUGGAAAUCUAACUUAAUUUCUUUUGGAGAGUAGAAAUGGGAGAAAAUCAGAGGCGAGGGAUUCAUAAUUUCAAGAGUGGAGAUAGUGUGGACCAAGAGCAACAACAACCAACAGGUGUUUGGGAGAAAAAAAAAGGGCUAGGGCCAGCUGACUCUAGAGUUUGCCGAAAAAUACAAUCACUAGCACACAUGUUCAUAUAUUGAACAUUCAAAAAAAAUAGCUAACAUGUAUCGAAAUCUUACUAUAUGCCAGGUACUAUUCUCAUAGCUUUAUAUGUACUGAUUCAUUUACUCCUCAUAAAAAAUUUAUGCAGAUGAGUACUACUCAUCACAAUUGUAAAGACAGGGAAACUGGAGCACAAAGUGGUCACAUAAAUUUUUCUGUAUACGCUAUGGAUGGCACAGCCAGAAUCUGACCCCAGUUGAAGUGGUAUUAGAGCCCCCCUUAAUUGCUGUGUUCUAUUGCACAGACUUAACUAUCACCUCCUGAAACUUUUCUCACACCCUUCUUACAGUCACCAGUGCUCCCAAAAGCAGAACCUUUAUUCCAACCAUAGAAAUGAAAAGCUUCACUUUGAAGACAUGAAAUAUACUCUAAAGAUAAAUACUACGUUAUUUAAACAUUCAACUAAAAGUAUAGUCUGGAAAAGAAGAGUCAACAAAUAUUUGAGAAAAACCUAGGGCAAAGAAAACAUAAAUUUCAACAGAGAUUUAACUCCAAGAAAACAGAGUUAGGCCGGGCGCGGUGGCUCAAGCCUGUAAUCCCAGCACUUUGGGAG